AUUGAACGCUGGCGGCAGGCUUAACACAUGCAAGUCGAACGAGUGGCGGACGGGUGAGUAAUGCUUGGGAAUCUGGCUUAUGGAGGGGGAUAACUACGGGAAACUGUAGCUAAUACCGCGUACCAUAGGAUGAGCCCAAGUGGGAUUAGGUAGUGGGUGGGGUAAAGGCUCACCAAGCCGACGAUCUCUAGCUGGUCUGAGAGGAUGACCAGACACACUGGGACUGAGACACGGACCAGACUCCUACGGGAGGCAGCAGUGGGGAAUAGUGCGCAAUGGGGGCAACCUGACGCAGCCAUGCCGCGUGAAUGAAGAAGGCCGUCGGGUUGUAAAGCUCGUUCGGUAGCGAGGCGUUAACUACAGAAGAAGCACCGGCUAACUCCGUGCCAGCAGCCGCGGUAAUUC
rnacentral:rRNA from 1 species